AUGGGGUAUGACAUCCCUAAAGGCACCAAUAUAUACAUUAAUGCCGUUGCAAUUUCUCAAGAUCCCAAAAACUGGGACAAUCCUAGAGAGUUUAGGCCAGAGAGGUUUGAGAACAUCAACUUAAAUUACAAUGGAACAUACUUUGAAUUCAAUCCCUUUGGAGCUGGGCGACGGCAGUGCCCCGGGAUCCAGUUUGGCUCAUCAGUCAUGGAGAUGGCAUUAACAAACUUUCUAUAUCACUUCAACUGGAGACUUCCUGAUGGUUCUAGCCUUGUUUCGUUUGACAUGUCUGAGAAGUUUGGGUUCGACAUAAUAUAG
rnacentral:rRNA from 1 species